rnacentral:rRNA from 1 species
UACAUAGGUGGCAAGCGUUGUCCGGAUUUAUUGGGUUUAAAGGGUGUGUAGGCGGCCCUGUAAGUCAGUGGUGAAAUACGGCAGCUCAACUGUCGAGGUGCCAUUGAUACUGCGGGGCUUGAGUACUGAUGAGGUAGGCGGAAUUGACGGUGUAGCGGUGAAAUGCUUAGAUAUCGUCAAGAACACCGAUAGCGAAGGCAGCUUACUAAGGAGUAACUGACGCCGAGGCACGAAAGUGCGGGGAU